rnacentral:rRNA from 1 species
UACGUAGGGUCCGAGCGUUGUCCGGAAUUACUGGGCGUAAAGAGCUCGUAGGUGGUUUGUCGCGUUGUUCGUGAAAACUCACAGCUUCAACUGUGGGCGUGCGGGCGAUACGGGCAGACUAGAGUACUGCAGGGGAGACUGGAAUUCCUGGUGUAGCGGUGGAAUGCGCAGAUAUCAGGAGGAACACCGGUGGCGAAGGC